rnacentral:rRNA from 1 species
GAUGAACGCUAGCGGCAGGCCUAAUACAUGCAAGUCGAACGGUGUCUUCGGACAUAGUGGCGCACGGGUGCGUAACACGUAUGCAACCUACCUUACAUUGGGGGAUAGCCUUUCGAAAGGGAGAUUAAUACCGCAUAAGACAGUAGCUGGGCAUCCAGCAGCUGUUAAAGAUUUAUCGAUGUAAGCUGGGCAUGCGUCCAAUUAGCUAGUUGGUGAGGUAACGGCUCACCAAGGCAAUGAUUGGUAGGGGAACUGAGAGGUCAAUCCCCCACACUGGCACUGGGAUACGGGCCAGACUCCUACGGGAGGCAGCAGUAGGGAAUAUUGGGCAAUGGACGCAAGUCUGACCCGGCCAUGCCGCGUGCAGGAUGAAGGCGUUAUGCGUUGUAAACUGCUUUUAUACAGGAAGAAACGACUCUUGCGAGAGGCAUUGACGGUACUGUAUGAAUAAGCACCGGCUAACUCCGUGCCAGCCGCCGCCGUAAGAC